AAUCACUGUCUGAACUGACAGUGUUUUCUCUUACCUUUGGCUCUUUCCGAUUGACCGAUUCUUUAGUUUAAAUAAGUGUCUCAUGUAUGGUUGAGACUGUCUCAUGUAUGGUUGAGACAAGGGCAUGAUUAGCAGCUUAAAGUGUCUCAUGUAUGGUUGAGACUGUCUCAUGUAUGGUUGAGACUGGUUAUAGAGAUCCCAUGGUAGUAUAGUAAAAUAGGGAUACUCAGGUUGUGCACGGGAACCAUUUCUUACUGACUGAUUCAUCUUUCCAUGCGUAUUAUUGUCUUGUCUUGUUUGUGUAUUUGUGUAUUUGUGUUUUAAAAUAUAUCUGUGAACAGUUGCAGCGUUAAGAGUGAUCACGAGUUGCUAAACGGGUAUUGUUGGGACCUUGAUCUCAGUUCAGCCCUGGCUUCUCUGUUUUGUUGCAAUCGUACAUGACACGUUCUUUGAUAAGAAUUUAAGGAGCCGACCCAUCCAUUUCGCCCAGGCGAUCCUGUUGUGGUUCGACAGCUCCAUCGCUAUCGAAAAGGGGGAUUCCCAUUUAUUCCCAUUUGGCCCACGUGUCACAGUGAUUGCCAUCACACGGACAGCAGUCCUCACCGAUGCCAGCGACCAUUGGAUCCACGCUUCACGAGUGAAACUCGCGCCAACACUUCCAACGCUGGAACUGAGUAAAACUGACAACACGGAACAGGACACCACCACCAAAUCCGUCACAGAAGGACCCGAAGAUGACGUCUCAGGACCUCACACCCCUACCACCGAUGAUGAUGAGGAAGUCGACAAAAUAUGCACUAUGGUGCAUAAUUGGCACUUUCCUUUUUCUAUUUUUCCCGAUUAUGAUAAUCCUUAACUGCAUAUGUUACCCAAACCCUCACAGCCCUUUGGGAUCAGUUUGUUACCAGUUUUUCAAGAGCAAUACAACACUCCAUCGCCAUGAACGAUCAAACCCCAUCGCCACCUUAGGAGGUCAGUCUACUAAUGAAUGACAAGUUGCAAUCAAACAAAGUGAUGGCACUACCACCUUCUGGUAUAACUCCGUUGGCAAAAAAAAUCUUAGCUCAGAUCGGUGUCACCUUAUUGAUUGUCUUAAUUUUUGUUUCAUUUCUUUUCUGCUGUAUAAUUCCCUAUAUCAGGAAAUUAACUUCAUCUUUAAUUACUUCUUCUGAGGGCUUGCAACUUAAGCUUAUUCAUGCUGUUCGCGUAUAGUCACUUAUGUGACUAAAAGGGGGAUUGAAAGGGAUUGCAAAGGGCUAAUGUCUUUUCCUGCCUGAACACUUGAUUGCACAAGUAUGCUUCUUAUCAAAUACACACAAGUUGUAGACUGUGUAAACCUACUAUAGCCACUCAGGUGUUCAAACAUUACCAAAUAUAGGGUAAUCACAUUGUGUAUGUCAUCACAAUGGAAUCUCUUUGUUUACUAUGCUAUAUAAGUUGUAGUACUACCCAUAAUAAACUGAACUUGUUUUGCAACA